rnacentral:rRNA from 1 species
UGUCGGGGUAACGGCCCAACAAGCCAGUAAUCGGUACGGGUUGUGGGAGCAAGAGCCCGGAGAUGGAUUCUGAGACACGAAUCCAGGCCCUACGGGGUGCAGCAGGCGCGAAAACUUUACAAUGCGGGUCACCGCGAUAAGGGAACCUCGAGUGCCAGCAUACAAUGUUGGCUGUCCAGGUGCCUAAAAAGCAUCUGUUAGCAAGGGCCGGGCAAGACCGGUGCCAGCCGCCGCGGUAAUACCGGCGGCUCGAGUGGUGGCCACUUUUAUUGGGCUUAAAGCGUUCGUAGCUGGGUUAUUAAGUCCCUUGGGAAAUCCGACGGCUUAACCGUCGGGCGUCUAAGGGAUACUGGUAAUCUUGGAACCGGGAGAGGUGAGGGGUACUUCGGGGGUAGGAGUGAAAUCUUGUAAUCCUCGAGGGACCACCUGUGGCGAAGGCGCCUCACCAGAACGGCUUCGACAGUGAGGGACGAAAGCUGGGGGAGCAAACCGGAUUAGAU